rnacentral:rRNA from 1 species
UACGUAGGGUGCGAGCGUUAAUCGGAAUUACUGGGCGUAAAGCGUGCGCAGGCGGUUUUGUAAGCCAGAUGUGAAAUCCCCGGGCUUAACCUGGGAAUGGCAUUUGGGACUGCAAGGCUUGAGUGUGGCAGAGGAGACUGGAAUUCCUGGUGUAGCAGUGAAAUGCGUAGAUAUCAGGAGGAACACCGAUGGCGAAGGCAGGUCUCUGGGCUGAACACAUGACGCUCAUGCACGAAAGCGUGGGGAGCAAACAGG